UACAGAGGCCACGAGCGUUAGGCGGAAUCACUGGGCUUAAAGCGUGUGUAGGUGGAUGACUAAGUACCUUGUGAAAUCCCACGGCUCAACCGUGGAACUGCUUGGUAUACUGGUUGUCUUGAGGCACUCAGGGGCGAGCGGAACAAAUGGUGGAGCGGUGAAAUGCGUAGAUAUCAUUUGGAACGCCAAUGGUGAAGACAGCUCGCUGGGGGGUGUACUGACACUGAGACACGAAAGCCAGGGGAGCGAACGGG
rnacentral:rRNA from 1 species